rnacentral:tmRNA from 1 species
GGGGGCGACUGGUUUCGACAUAGUGGUUCCAAGCAAGGAAGCAGGCCGUGGUCUCCUCGCCACGUUAAACUGGGGUACCGUCAAGAUAAUUGGCAACAAUCGUUAUGCCCUCGCUGCCUAAUUGAGCAGCGACGUCAACAUGGGAUACAUCCCCGCUCCCAUCGCGACGCCAUUUUAGGGGAAUGCGCCCCAGGACGUAGUCGGUAUGCCUGGGGUUAAGACGAACCGGCUGGGGAGAGGCCCGUUGGCCAGCUGACCCUCCUCUCCCGAGACACGAUAGCAGGCUGAGCCUGGAGAUGCCUUGCGAGGAGUCAUUAUGGACCGGAGUUCGAUUCUCCGCGCCUCCACCA